rnacentral:rRNA from 1 species
UAUCGAGCGGACAGAUGGGAGCCCUGCUCCCUUAUGUUAGCGGCGGACGGGUGAGUAACACGUGGGUAACCUGCCUGUAAGACUGGGAUAACUCCGGGAAACCGGGGCUAAUACCGGAUGGUUGUCUUGAACCGCAUGGUUCAGACAUAAAAGGUGGCUUCGGCUACCACUUACAGAUGGACCCUGCGGCGCAUUAGCUAGUUGGUGAGGUAACGGCUCACCAAGGCGACGAUGCGUAGCCGACCUGAGAGGGUGAUCGGCCACACUGGGACUGAGACACGGCCCAGACUCCUACGGGAGGCAGCCAGUAGGGAAUCUUCCGCAAUGGACGAAAGUCUGACGGAGCAAACGCCGCGUGAGUGAUGAAGGUUUCGGAUCGUAAAGCUCUGUUGUUAGGGGAAGAACCAAGUGCCGUUCAAAUAGGGNGCGGCACCUUGACGGGUUACCCUAAACCAGAAAAGCCAACGGCUAAACUUACGUGCCAAG